GACAGAGGGGGCAAGCGUUGCUCGGAAUUACUGGGCGUAAAGGGCGCGUAGGCGGGAUGGCAAGUCGGUCGUGAAAUCCCUCGGCUCAACCGAGGAACGUCGAUCGAUACUGCUGUUCUUGAGGAUUGCAGAGGAGACUGGAAUUCCCGGUGUAGCGGUGAAAUGUGUAGAGAUCGGGUGGAACACCGGUGGCGAAGGCGGGUCUCUGGGCAAUUCCUGACGCUGAGGCGCGAAAGCGUGGGGAGCAAACGGG
rnacentral:rRNA from 1 species